rnacentral:rRNA from 1 species
AUGCGUCGCCUCGGCCCUCCAACCACCCUCACCAACAACCCGCGGAUAUAUGCGCUCUUAUUGACAUACCACAUACAGUCGAUCGUCUCCGGCGUGCGCGCGGCCAUGGAGGAGUUCGACGAGGCCGACGUCCUGUGGCCGGACCACCAAGAGGACGAAGAACCUGUCAAAGUACAAGACCGCCAGCAGCAGCAGCGUGUGUCACCGGCGAUCAAGCCGCACGACAAGAUCGAGGCGGCGCGUCGCCCGGCGGGCUCGUCGUCGGCGCCGAUGGUCAUCCCCGUGGCGCCAAGGCCCCCGAUGAUGAUGGAUUAUGGCUCGUGGGCGCGGAGGUACCACAGCGACGGCGUCGGGGGCGCGUCGUUCGUGGCGCCGCACGUGAUGACGGCGAGGCGGCGGUGCGCGUCUUCGGAGGAGAGGUCGGUGUGCGUGGGGCAGGGGCGCACGCUCAAGGGCCGCGACCUCCUCUAUGUCCGCACCGCCGUGCUCCGCCUGACCGGCUUCCUCGAGACCUGA